rnacentral:rRNA from 1 species
UACAGAGGGGGCAAGCGUUGUUCGGAAUUACUGGGCGUAAAGGGCGCGUAGGCGGCCUGCUAAGUCGAACGUGAAAUCCCCGGGCUCAACCCGGGAACUGCGUCCGAUACUGGCAGGCUUGAAUCCGGGAGAGGGAUGCGGAAUUCCAGGUGUAGCGGUGAAAUGCGUAGAUAUCUGGAGGAACACCGGUGGCGAAGGCGGCAUCCUGGACCAAUAUUGACGCUGAGGAGCGAAAGCCAGGGGAGCAAACGGG